rnacentral:rRNA from 1 species
AUGGGCGCAAGCCUGAUCCAGCCAUGCCGCGUGUGUGAAGAAGGCCUUCGGGUUGUAAAGCACUUUCAGCGAGGAGGAAGGGUGUUGUGUUAAUAGCACAGUAUUUUGACGUUACUCGCAGAAGAAGCACCGGCUAACUCCGUGCCAGCAGCCGCGGUAAUACGGAGGGUGCAAGCGUUAAUCGGAAUUACUGGGCGUAAAGCGCACGCAGGCGGCUUGUUAAGUCGGAUGUGAAAGCCCCGGGCUCAACCUGGGAAUUGCAUUCGAUACUGGCAAGCUAGAGUAUGUGAGAGGGGGGUAGAAUUCCAAGUGUAGCGGUGAAAUGCGUAGAGAUUUGGAGGAAUACCAGUGGCGAAGGCGGCCCCCUGGCACACUACUGACGCUCAGGUGCGAAAGCGUGGGGAGCAAACAGGAUUAGAUACCC